GCUGGGCACAGUGGCACAUGCCUGUAAUCCCAGUGGCUUGGGAGGCUGAGGCAGGAGAAUCGUGGGUUCAAAGCCAGUCUCAACAACAGCAAGGUGCUAAGCAACUCAGUGAGAUCCUAUCUCUA
rnacentral:sRNA from 1 species